AUGGAUACACAUGAAGGAGAGACUGACAGCAGCCUGGUGUUCUGCAUUGCCAGCUCGUUAGAAGACAUCACUGGGAAAUUCAAAACAACUCGACUCCAGCAUUAUUACCUUUUUCCAGUUCCCUCAGCACGGAACACCAGAGCCGGAGCAUGCUGAUUGGAUUCCAUUCCUCAGACAGCAGAAGUGUUUAUUAAGCCCACUCUGAGAUAACUGCAGGGCUGAAAAAAAUCCACUCCUUUUUGGGAUGGGAGUGGAAGAAAGGUUUGCAGACAGCAGAUGCGUUUUUUCAAUCUAAUAGAUACCCUACCUGUUCCAAAAAAGUACAAGGCUGUUCUCAGUCUGAUAUGCUUCAGUUUAAACCCAAGACAGAUAGCUCCAAUACAUUAAAUUUUUUAGGAAGAGGGAAAUUAAGGGUAAAGAAAUCCUUAUAGGCCCAAAAUUCUUAAAGCUAAGGACAAUGAGGCAGAAAGACCAUAAGUUCAAGCCCGACCUGAGCUACGCAGCAACACCCUGUCUCAAAAAACUUAAAAAAUAACCCUUAACUUUAAACAAACC
rnacentral:lncRNA from 1 species